rnacentral:rRNA from 1 species
CCUACGGGAGGCAGCAGUGGGGAAUAUUGGGCAAUGGAGGCAACUCUGACCCAGCAACGCCGCGUGAAUGAUGAAGGUCUUCGGAUUGUAAAGUUCUGUGAUGGGGGAGGAACACAAUGACGGUACCCCAAUAGCAAGCCACGGCUAACUACGGCCCAGAAGCCUCGGGAAUAGGUAGGUGGCAAGCGUUUUCCGGAAUGACUGGGCGUAAAGGGGGCGUAGGGGGUUUAGUAAGUUGGCGGUGUAAUUCCGGGGCUCAACCUCGGCGCUGCCGCCCAAACUAUUAGACUAGAGUGCAGGAGGGGUAAGUGGAAUUCCUAGUGUAGCGGUGGAAUGCGUAGAUAUUAGGAGGAACAUCAGGGGCGAAGGCGACUUACUGGACUGUAACUGACACUGAGGCACGAAAGCGUGGGGAGCAAACAGGAUUAGAUACCCCAGUAGUC